CCCAUUGAGGCUUCCGAACUGAUCACUCACAUCCUUGCUAGGCUCGGUGUCGAGUAUGAUCCUCUAGUCACAUCUGUGACCACAAGGCAAGAUUCCAUCUCCUUAAAUGAUUUAUAUGGUUAUUUCUUAUCCUUUGAGC